UGGAGUGAGAAGAACCUUCCCAGGUCUCGACAUAGUCGGUGGCCGCUCUGGAGACAGAGCUUCCCUUCGGGGCAGCGGUGACAGGUGGUGCAUGGUUGUCGUCAGCUCGUGUCGUGAGAUGUUGGGUUAAGUCCCGCAACGAGCGCAACCCUUAUCUUUAGUUGCCAGCAUUCAGUUGGGCACUCUAGAGAGACUGCCGUCGACAAGACGGAGGAAGGCGGGGAUGACGUCAAAUCAUCAUGCCCCUUAUGACCUGGGCUACACACGUGCUACAAUGGUUGGUACAACGGGAUGCUACCUCGCGAGGGGACGCCAAUCUCUGAAAACCAAUCUCAGUUCGGAUUGUAGGCUGCAACUCGCCUACAUGAAGUCGGAAUCGCUAGUAAUCGCGGAUCAGCAUGCCGCGGUGAAUACGUUCCCGGGCCUUGUACACACCGCCCGUCACACCACGGGAGUUUGCAACACCCGAAGUCGGUGAGGUAACCGCAAGGAGCCAGCCGCCGAAAGUUCUAUACGCUGCU
rnacentral:rRNA from 1 species